rnacentral:rRNA from 1 species
UACGGAGGGUGCAAGCGUUGUCCGGAAUCACUGGGCGUAAAGGGCGCGUAGGCGGCUUGGUAAGUCAUCUGUGAAAUCCCGGUGCUCAACGCCGGGGCUGCAGGUGAGACUGCCUGGCUGGAGCUUGGUAGGGGCGAGUGGAAUUCCCGGUGUAGCGGUGAAAUGCGUAGAUAGCGGGAGGAACACCUGUGGCGAAAGCGGCGCACUGGACCACAUCUGACGCUGAGGCGCGAAAGCUAGGGGAGCAAACAGG